rnacentral:tRNA from 1 species
GUGCAUUAGGUUUAAAUUCUAAAUAUAAUAUUAUUAUUCUAUAUUA